GGAGAGCUGGCCGAGUGGUCGAAGGCGCUUGAUUCGAAAUCAAGAGUACCGGCAACGGUACCGUGGGUUCGAAUCCCACGCUCUCCG
rnacentral:tRNA from 1 species